rnacentral:rRNA from 1 species
UUAAGAAUCUUGCACAAUGGGCGCAAGCCUGAUGCAGCGACGCCGCGUGGAUGAUGAAGGCCUUCGGGUUGUAAAGUCCGGUAAGCAGGGAAGAAUAAGCGCCGGGUAAUAUUCGGUGUGAUGACGGUACCUGCCUAAAGCCCCGGCUAACUACGUGCCAGCAGCCGCGGUAAUACGUAUGGGGCGAGGGUUGUGCGGCAUUAUUGGGCGUAAAGGGCGUCUAGGCGGGGAUUUAAGUUAGGUGUGAAAGCUAUGGGCUCAACCCAUAAAUGGCACCUAAAACUGGAUCUCUUGAG